UACCUGUUUGGUUUUGAUCUGGU
rnacentral:piRNA from 1 species